AGAGUUUGAUCCUGGCUCAGAAUCAACGCUGGCGGCGCGCUUAACACAUGCAAGUCGCACGAGAAAGGGAGCAAUCCUAAGUAAAGUGGCGUACGGGUGAGUAACACGUGGAUCAUCUACCUUUUAGUGGGGAAUACCUCCUGGAAACGGGAGACAAUACCGCAUAAGCUCGAGAGAGGAAAGCAGCAAUGCGCUGAAAGAGGAGUCCGCGGCUGAUUAGCUAGAUGGCGGGGUAAUGGCCCACCAUGGCGAAGAUCGGUAGCCGGCCUGAGAGGGCACACGGCCACACUGGCACUGAAACACGGGCCAGACUCCUACGGGAGGCAGCAGUGGGGAAUCUUGCACAAUGGAGGAAACUCUGAUGCAGCGACGCCGCGUGAGCGAUGAAGCCCUUCGGGGUGUAAAGCUCUUUCGACGGGAACGAUAAUGACGGUACCCGAAGAAGAAGCUGCGGCUAACUACGUGCCAGCAGCCGCGGUAAUACGUAGGCAGCGAGCGUUGUUCGGAAUUACUGGGCGUAAAGAGUGUGUAGGUGGUGCUCUAAGUUUGGUGUGAAAUCUCCCGGCUUAACUGGGAGGGUGCGCCGAAAACUGGAGUGCUUGAGUAUGGGAGAGGUAAGCGGAAUUCCUGGUGUAGCGGUGAAAUGCGUAGAUAUCAGGAGGAACACCUGGUGUAGACAGCUUACUGGACCAUCACUGACACUGAGACACGAAAGCGUGGGUAGCAAACAGGAUUAGAUACCCCCGUAGUCC
rnacentral:rRNA from 1 species